rnacentral:rRNA from 1 species
UAGGGAAUCUUCGGCAAUGGGGGGAACCCUGACCGAGCAACGCCGCGUGAGUGAAGAAGGUUUUCGGAUCGUAAAGCUCUGUUGUUAAGGAAGAACGAGUGUGAGAAUGGAAAGUUCAUACUGUGACGGUACUUAACCAGAAAGGAACGGCUAACUACGUGCCAGCAGCCGCGGUAAUACGUAGGUCCCGAGCGUUGUCCGGAUUUAUUGGGCGUAAAGCGAGCGCAGGCGGUUAGAUAAGUCUGAAGUUAAAGGCAGUGGCUCAACCAUUGUAGGCUUUGGAAACUGUUUAACUUGAGUGCAGAAGGGGAGAGUGGAAUUCCAUGUGUGGCGGUGAAAUGCGUAGAUAUAUGGAGGAACACCGGUGGCGAAAGCGGCUCUCUGGUCUGUAACUGACGCUGAGGCUCGAAAGCGUGGGGAGCGAACAGG